AUAAUUGUGGCUCAGUGGUAGAGUCCCUGCUUUGCAUGCAGAAGUCCCAGAUUCAGUUCUAGGCAUUUGCA
rnacentral:tRNA from 1 species